ACGCUCGACACCUACGGGAGCAGCAGUGGGGAAUAUUGCACAAUGGGGGAAACCCUGAUGCAGCAACGCCGCGUGAGUGAAGAAGUAUUUCGGUAUGUAAAGCUCUAUCAGCAGGGAAGAUAAUGACGGUACCUGACUAAGAAGCUCCGGCUAAAUACGUGCCAGCAGCCACGGUAAUCUGAGCGGGCUGGCAAGGC
rnacentral:rRNA from 1 species